AACGAACGCUGGCGGCAUGCCUAACACAUGCAAGUCGAACGAAGGCUUCGGCCUUAGUGGCGCACGGGUGCGUAACGCGUGGGAAUCUGCCCUUGGGUUCGGAAUAACUCAGAGAAAUUUGAGCUAAUACCGAAUGAUGUCGAAAGACCAAAGAUUUAUCGCCCAAGGAUGAGCCCGCGUAGGAUUAGCUUGUUGGUGAGGUAAAAGCUCACCAAGGCGACGAUCCUUAGCUGGUCUGAGAGGAUGAUCAGCCACACUGGGACUGAGACACGGCCCAGACUCCUACGGGAGGCAGCAGUGGGGAAUAUUGGACAAUGGGCGAAAGCCUGAUCCAGCAAUGCCGCGUGAGUGAUGAAGGCCUUAGGGUUGUAAAGCUCUUUCAGUGGGGAUGAUAAUGACAGUACCCACAGAAGAAGCCCCGGCUAACUUCGUG
rnacentral:rRNA from 1 species